rnacentral:rRNA from 1 species
GCCCAACUGAUAUGACGUGCUUGCACUGAAUUGACGUUGGAUUACCAGUGAGCGGCGGACGGGUGAGUAACACGUGGGCAACCUGCCCUGAAGUGGGGGAUAACAUCUGGAAACAGGUGCUAAUACCGCAUAACAACGAAAACCACAUGGUUUUCGUUUCAAAGAUGGUUUCGGCUAUCACUUCAGGAUGGGCCCGCGGUGCAUUAGCUAGUUGGUAAGGUAACGGCUUACCAAGGCAAUGAUGCAUAGCCGAGUUGAGAGACUGAUCGGCCACAAUGGAACUGAGACACGGUCCAUACUCCUACGGGAGGCAGCAGUAGGGAAUCUUCCACAAUGGGCGCAAGCCUGAUGGAGCAACACCGCGUGAGUGAAGAAGGGUUUCGGCUCGUAAAGCUCUGUUGUUGGAGAAGAACGUGCGUGAGAGUAACUGUUCACGCAGUGACGGUAUCCAACCAGAAAGUCACGGCUAACUACGUGCCAGCAGCCGCGGUAAUACGUAGGUGGCAAGCGUUAUCCGGAUUUAUUGGGCGUAAAGCGAGCGCAGGCGGUUGCUUAGGUCUGAUGUGAAAGCCUUCGGCUUAACCGAAGAAGGGCAUCGGAAACCGGGCGACUUGAGUGCAGAAGAGGACAGUGGAACUCCAUGUGUAGCGGUGGAAUGCGUAGAUAUAUGGAAGAACACCAGUGGCGAAGGCGGCUGUCUGGUCUGCAACUGACGCUGAGGCUCGAAAGCAUGGGUAGCGAACAGGAUUAGAUACCCUGGUAGUCCAUGCCGUAAACGAUGAGUGCUAGGUGUUGGAGGGUUU